rnacentral:tRNA from 1 species
AGUAAGGUCAGCUAAACAAGCUCUCAGGCCCAUACCCUGAUCAUUUGGGUGAAAACCCCACCUUUACUA